UCAAAAUGAUGUGUCCUGUCCAGUCCCUGUUUCUGCUAAUGUUCUGGAUUCUGGGAACCAGUGGUGAUGCUGUGCUGACCCAGACUCCACUCUCUUUGUCAGUUGCCACUGGACAGUCAGCUUCCAUCUCUUGCCAGUCAAGUCAGAGCCUCUUAGAUAGUGAUGGAAAAACCUAUUUGAAUUGGUUGCUACAGAGACCAGGACAGUCUCCACAGCGUCUAAUUUAUCAGGUGUCCACACGUGACCCUGGAGUCUCUGAUAGGUUCAGUGGCAGUGGGUCAGGGACAGAUUUCACACUCAAAAUCAGCAGAGUGGAGGCUGAGGAUGUGGGAGUUUAUUACUGCCUCCAAGGUACACAUGUUCCUCACACAAUGAUAUAG